rnacentral:lncRNA from 1 species
AGGCCAGGAGUUUGAGGCUGCAGUGAGCUAUGAUCGCACCACUGCACUCCAGCCUGGGUGACAGAGUAGGACCCUGUCUCAAAAAAGAAAUCAACCAAUAUUUAUGGAGUAUCUACAAUGUAGAAGGUUCGGUUUCUUUUUUCAACACAAUUUUUUUUUCCUCUGGUUGAGUUGUCUCCAUUUUUUAUUUUUAAAUUAAAGAAAUAUCAUUAUGGAACACUAAUGAUCUUAAAUAUCAGGGCUUAUCUCCAAGCUCUCCUUUGUAUGUAUUCUGUUACAUUCUUUGAAGAAUACAAGGAUUUAGAAGAAAAUGACUUUUAAAAAACCUAUCUGACUCACUCAAACAAAAUUGCUCACUUUCCUGAUCUAUUGUUGCUUUUCUGGUCUUUGGAAAGAGAUGAUGUCUUCUACCCGGCCUUGGAUUUUUUUCUUUUUUGUCCUUCCUUUUUUUUUGGUGGGGGCAAUUUUUGGAAGUAAAUGUCACAAUCGAUCAGUCAAUCUGAGUAGGCAUGGUCUAGUCUGUCCUAAGUAUUUUAUAUGAGUACCAUUUGACAAAGUCAGAAUUCUAUAAUGAUUCUUAACAUUUUUUUUUUUUUUUUUGAGAUAGUCUCAUUCUGUCACUCAGGCUGGAGUGCAGUGGCGUGAUCUUGGCUCACUGCAAUCUCUGCCUUCCGGGUUCAAGUGAUUCUCGUGCCUCAGCCUCUGGAGUAGCUGGGACUACAGGCGUGUGCCACCACACCUAGCUAAUUUUUGUAUUUUUUGUAGAGAUGGAGUUUCACCACGUUGGUCAGGCUGGUCUCGAACUCCUAGCCUCAAGUGAUCCACCCGUCUUGGCCUCCCAAAGGGCUGUGAUUACAGGCGUGAGCUGCCAUGCCAGGCAGAUUUUUAACACUUCUAAAAAGUUGUAACUCUUGAGACAAGUCCACUGUGACCUCAGAUGUAUAUACAUCCACAUCUCUAAGAGUCUCCUGGUUACUAGGGAAUUCCGCACAAGUUCCUCACAAAAUUCACAAGCAAGAAUAUUUAGAAUCAUGAAAUUCUAAAUCUGGGAAGAACCAGAGAAAGUCCAUCUGGUCUAACUUUUACAUUUUCCAGAUAAGAAAACUAAGUCCCGAGAAGGGACUAGUUAGGGAAAGAGCAGGCUUUUAGACUGCUCUUUCCUUUGACCUUUGAAAACAUUUUAAUCAAAGAACAAUCAUAAUAAGGGGAGUAGAGGAAUGUUAUCAUUCACAGGGCUUCCAAGUGACUGUGGAAAAUCUUGGGAGGCUUUGCUUUGGACUUUGUUAUCCAUUUAGGGACUGGCUGUUCUGAAUUGUUCUCUGUGCUAGGCCUUAUCUAAACCGCUUGCCUUAAAUCUUUGACCUUCAUUUAAAUUGCUGACACUUUCCCCUUGUGAAACUGUAUCAUAAUUUCUUCUGUCUUCUUUAGGCUAGCAGCAUUUCCCUUUCUUAUUCCCAGAAGAGCUCAGAGAAGCUUAUUUUUUUAGAUGAGUGAUGCAUAAAAAGGAAUGUGGCUGCACAAUUCUAAUUAUUUCAUAAAGUUCUGAGGUAUUUUUAGGGUGUUGCAAAGUGCUAAUAAAAAAUAAUCAUAUUCAUGGACAUACAGAGUGGAAUAAUAGACACUGGAGACUCCACAAAGUGGGAGGGCAGUGAGGGAUGAGAAAUUACCUGUUGGGUACAUCGUAUACUACUCAGGUGACAGUCACACUAAAAGCCCAGACUCCACCACUGUGCAAUAUAUACAUGUAACAAAAAUGUACCCUUUAAAUCUAUAAAAAAUAAAUCCUUUCUAGCCCAGUUUGCUAAGGGUUUUUUUUUUCAUGAAGAACAUUUAUAAUAAACUCUUUGUUCUGCAUAAAAAAGGAAUAAUGUUUAUGUCUUUAUUUCCCAUUAUGUGACUUUUAGGCUGCUUUCUAAAAUUUUGAUUUCUUUUCUUCAGGUGGUUAAAACAGUAUGAUUGGACUUGUUUAGAGCAUGGUGCUCUUUCACAGAAAGAGAAACUUGUUCCAAGGCUUCAGCAGUAUCCUAACCCCCUAACCCAGCUGGCCGUCUAGCAAAUAUUCACAGCAUACAAGUUUCGAAAGUCAGAAUGGCUCGGUGGGAGCCUAUGGUGUC